rnacentral:rRNA from 1 species
GAGUUUGAUCCUGGCUCAGGACGAACGCUGGCGGCGUGCUUAACACAUGCAAGUCGAACGAUGAACCUGGAGCUUGCUCUGGGGGAUUAGUGGCGAACGGGUGAGUAACACGUGAGUAACCUGCCCUGGACUCUGGGAUAAGCGUUGGAAACGACGUCUAAUACCGGAUAGGACCUCGGAUCGCAUGAUCUGGGGUGGAAAGUUUUUCGGUCUGGGAUGGACUCGCGGCCUAUCAGCUUGUUGGUGAGGUAAUGGCUCACCAAGGCGUCGACGGGUAGCCGGCCUGAGAGGGUGACCGGCCACACUGGGACUGAGACACGGCCCAGACUCCUACGGGAGGCAGCAGUGGGGAAUAUUGCACAAUGGGCGCAAGCCUGAUGCAGCAACGCCGCGUGCGGGAUGACGGCCUUCGGGUUGUAAACCGCUUUUAGUAGGGAAGAAGGGCUUCGGCUUGACGGUACCUGCAGAAAAAGGACCGGCUAAC